rfam:Ictidomys tridecemlineatus contig052463, whole genome shotgun sequence.
CAGUGUGGGGCUCAGUGGUAGAGCCUGUGCUUGUCAAGCACAAAGCCCUGGGUUCCAUCCCCAGUACAAGGG